rnacentral:rRNA from 1 species
CCUACGGGCGGCAGCAGUGAGGAAUAUUGGUCAAUGGGCGGGAGCCUGAACCAGCCAAGCCGCGUGAGGGAAGAAGGUACAGCGUAUCGUAAACCUCUUUUGUCAGGGAACAAAGGCGGGGACUAGUCCCCGGAUGAGGGUACCUGAAGCAAAAGCAUCGGCUAACUCCGUGCCAGCAGCCGCGGUAAUACGGAGGAUGCGAGCGUUAUCCGGAUUUAUUGGGUUAAAAGGGUGCGCAGGCGGCCUGUUGAGUCAGCGGGAAAAGCCCGGGGCUCAACCCCGGCGAGCCGUUGAAACUGGCGGGCUUGAGUUGGAGAGAAGUACGCGGAAUGCGCGGUGUAGCGGUGAAAUGCUGAGAGAUUGCGCAGAACUCCGAUGGCGAAGGCAGCAUACCGGCGGCGAUCUGACGCUGAGGCACGAAAGCGUGGGUAUCGAACAGGAUUAGAUACCCGUGUAGUC